GCGGACGUGGUGGAACUGGUAGACACACCGGAUUUAGGUUCCGACGGCGAGAGCCAUGGGGGUUCGAGUCCCCCCGUCCGCACCA
rnacentral:tRNA from 1 species